rnacentral:rRNA from 1 species
GAUGAACGCUGGCGGCGUGCCUAACACAUGCAAGUCGAACGAAGCACCUUACCUGAUUCUUCGGAUGAAAGUUUGGUGACUGAGUGGCGGACGGGUGAGUAACGCGUGGGUAACCUGCCCUGUACAGGGGGAUAACAGCUGGAAACGGCUGCUAAUACCGCAUAAGCGCACGAGGAGACAUCUCCUUGUGUGAAAAACUCCGGUGGUACAGGAUGGGCCCGCGUCUGAUUAGCUGGUUGGCAGGGUAACGGCCUACCAAGGCAACGAUCAGUAGCCGGUCUGAGAGGAUGAACGGCCACAUUGGAACUGAGACACGGUCCAAACUCCUACGGGAGGCAGCAGUGGGGAAUAUUGCACAAUGGGGGAAACCCUGAUGCAGCAACGACGCGUGAGUGAAGAAGUAUUUCGGUAUGUAAAGCUCUAUCAGCAGGGAAGAUAAUGACGGUACCUGACUAAGAAGCUCCGGCUAAAUACGUG